GGAGAGAUGGCAGAGCGGCCGAUUGCACCGGUCUUGAAAACCGGAGACUCCGCAAGGUGUCCCAGGGUUCGAAUCCCUGUCUCUCCG
rnacentral:tRNA from 1 species